rnacentral:rRNA from 1 species
UACGGGGGGUGCAAGCGUUGUUCGGAAUUAUUGGGCGUAAAGAGCGUGUAGGCGGUUUGUUAAGUCUGAUGUGAAAGCCCUGGGCUCAACCCAGGAAGUGCAUUGGAAACUGGCAGACUUGAAUACGGGAGAGGGCAGUGGAAUUCCUAGUGUAGGAGUGAAAUCCGUAGAUAUUAGGAGGAACACCGGUGGCGAAGGCGGCUGCCUGGACCGAUAUUGACGCUGAGACGCGAAAGCGUGGGUAGCAAACAGG